GAUGACUCGGAGGGAUAUUCCUGAGCAAGAUACAGGGUUUUCUCCAUGGAGCUAAAUAUAACUUUUGAGCAGGGAAUAUGGUGACUCUGCCAGGGGAGGGAUCCCAGGCUGAGCCAGAGGGCCAGGGAUGGGGCAGGCCAGGGAUGGGAGGCUAGGAACGCUUCUCAGUGGACCUGAUACGCAGAUUGAGUUGAGGAGCUGUGGAACCAGCUCUCCAGAAGCGUCUCCAGCACAAACUCAGAAGGAUAGAGAAAGAAAAGAAGGGGACUGGAAUUGAGGAGACAGCAUGCUGACAGAAAGCACAGCUUGACUCAGGGAGGCUGAGAAAGUGGUGAAGGACCAUACCAGAAGAAAGGCUUGUUUGAAACACCCUAUGGCAGAGCCCAAGUGACACUGUUUAAAGCGGCAUGUGGAAUGACGGCCAAGGCCAGUGUUCUCCUGGAAGUUCAAAGUGUGAGAAUGGGAUGGAGCCAGCCAGGAAAACACUCUGCUUCUCAGAGGACUUCAAAGACUGAGAGAAGACACAGAACUGGAGGAGUGUAGACUAUGAAAGAAAUCCUUCCUCUUGAUCCUCUGACUCCGGAUGUAUCCUCAUCCAUUCAUUCGGAAGGUGCAGAGGAGGGAGCCAAGCCCUUGGGACCAGACAGACAGCCAUCUGCCACACAGAGGCCUGCUCAUAUGCCCGGAAAGUCGAGAGCCACACAGGCUGCAUUUCUGCUCCACGGGCCUUGAAGUGGAGAAGACGGCUUGCUGCCAUUUUAUUCGGUCCUGUGGCUCCCGUGAAACUCCAGUCCCCACGCUCCUCACUGGGCCUCUUAAAGGUCCAUCUGUUUCCCCUCUCAACAAACUGACCUGUGUGGGCAAUAAUACCGAAGACCCUCCUCCAAGCUGUGACAGAUCAUUGAAAAUUGCUAGGAAAAGAACUGCAUCAUAACGACCCCAAUACUACGUCAGACCCGGAGAUCCCUAGGCGUGCUUUCUACCCCCAGAGUGUUUUCAGAGCAUGUGUCACUGCUUUGCGGCAGGCUUGUACUGUGAGCAUCCUCAUAACGGACACUUCCUCUGCGGCCCAGUUUACUUUUUUAUACGCUUAGUCAUGCAUACAGAUCCUAGCCGUGGCGACUGACUCAAAAUAACUCAUUUGGGGGCACUACAAAAAGAGUCUUUAUCGGCUGUUUUAAUAACAACACAGCCCACAUUAAACAGCUCAGUUUGGCUGCUUAGAUAUUCCUUCUCAAAUCAUGUCAUAUACAUUUUUGGAAACUACAUUAAAAUACUACGUAUUCUCCCAUCCUCCAACCCUUCAGUCUUUGUUUAUUGCUUUAGUUCAUUCCUGGAUUUUCUCCCUAAGCUGUGGGUAAGGAGUGCCACGGAUAAGUUCAUUUUUUUUGCUUCAAAGUGACAGAAAUGUCUGAUUUCUCUCUGGUUUUGGAAAAACUGAGUAGUCAUAGAAGAUCUAAAGCAGAAAAUCUCAAACCUCUUCAAGGGAGCUGCCUCUUGCUCUCCUUUCCUCUCUCCUUCUCUUUCUUCUUCCUGUCCUUUCCUUCCCUCCCUCCAUGUUUCCUAAAUAUCUGUAAUGUGCCCGCCAUUGUUCUAGAUGAGGAAUCAGACACAAAGGGGAGCAAGUACAGUGUCCCACAGUCUUCUGAAUGUCUUUAAGAAGACAACCUGAGAAAUAGAUAACAUGGCUUUCGUUGGUAUGAAAUCAUCCCAAGAUGUCCCUGCAUGCUUCGGGGGACACCUUCCUGGUUCAUAAUUCCUUUUCCUGCAGACUUCUCUGUUCAGGGCACAGGCCUAGAAAGGCACGAGACCGAGGACUUUAUUACUCACAGCAGCUGACGUGAGACAACAUUUUUUGGUACUGGUCCUGAGCCCCACUUCCACAGGGCAACGUGGAGAGGGACAGAUGACCCGUGUCACACCCACACAUGGCAGCUUGCUUACGAGAGAGGAUUCCUGAUUGCAGAGAACCCAAAUCUUUUUCAAUGCCUACCCUUUUCUUCAAUAGGAGACCUUACUCAACUUCUGAGAGUGCUUGAUAGGCGUGGAGAUUCUCCCCCUGUACGCCUUUCUCUUGCCCUCUGGAAUCCAAAUAAAACUAAAGGAGCUGUCAAGUGUCAGGUGAGACGUAAGUGCCUCCCUCCCCUCCACUGCCCCCCUCCGGUUAAAGCCCCAGCUAUUGUCCCUGCCCUGUUGGCUCUCUUUUCCUACUCUGCCUUCUCCUUCUUACCCUUGUCCGUAUUCUGCUCAGCUGGGAGCACAGGCCUGAGCGCUGAUGGCGUAGGAGCUCCAAUUUGAGAUCCAUUUAUCAAGAGCUGGAAUUGGCAAACCAUGGGCCCAGCCAAAUAGAUUGCAGUCUGUUUUUGUGCAUCUCUGGAGCUAGGGGUGAUACUUAGAUUUUUAAAAGGGUGUGUGUGUGUGUGUGUGUGUGUGUGUGUAUAAAACAAUAUGAGACAGAGCCCGCAAACCUGAAAUAUUUACUAUCUCAAACUUUAUAGGAAAAGUUUGCCAACUCCUAUUGUAGGAGAAAUUGUCAUGUUAUAGGGGAAAGGGGACCAUACAGAAAACAGCAGCAUGGAUGGACGUGCUGGGGGACCGGGCUAGCAUGCUAUCUCUUCAUUCUUCGAGGCAUCCUGCGUACCUCCUUGGUAGAGAGCAGACUGUAUGAUCUUCUUCAUGCCUUAGAAAGUGCAAAUUUCUCAGGCUCUAAAAUCGUACUCUCCGUCUCUGUCUCUCUCCGUUGCUCUCUCUUACUGUUGUGAAUUAAGUCAGGAAAAGUGAAGAGAAGCAUGUGAAUUAUUGUUCCAAUUAUGAUAUGUGAUUCAAACACGUGAGGGACCUUGGCUCAUCUUCCUCUCCGGGUUAAGUGCAGUUACAGCAUCAAUUAGGAUUUAGAUGAUGUUCUCAGAUCUGGGGAAUGGAUUGCUGGGUGCCAGGAAAAUAAUACUACAGUGUCUGUGCAUGCACGGAGCUAGCUGGACAGCUGCUCAAACGGAUUUCCUUUGUGCCGUCCACCAUCUGAGCUCUGUAGAAAUUCUCUCCUUUCAAAGUCAUCUUGGAGUCCCUGAGUCCUCAGAGCCCCGCAUUAUCUUAAUUUUUUUAACCUCUCUGUCACAUAAAGAUUUCAUAUUUUUGCUUAUACUUCAUAUACAUUGAAACAUGCUCAUGCUUGAGAAUAUUGAUGCUUCCUCUAAAAUGACUGUGGAUACUUUCUCCUUCCAGACUCUUUAUGGAGUUGACUCCAGCCUCUAAUCUUGGCCUUGAAAGGUGGCAAGCGGUUCAGUAACGUAGAAUACAGGACACUGACUUAGCUAAGUCUGAUUUUGACUCAAUCAAGAGUGCUAUUAAAAAAAGUGGACAUUUGAAUGGGGGUGGCUUGUCACCUUGAAGAGAGUAGCGGUUUUAAAUCAAUACACUCCAACAUCUUAGAAACAGAUGUUAAUAAGAUGCGGUAUUUGAAGGACAUUUCAGAAGAAUAGGAUUAUACUGAGUACUUUUCUAGUGUUUAUCAAAUUCUUCCCAAGUGACCAUGGAGUACAGAAAGGCAAGUGCCACCGUUCUCGGGGCUGUGAGUAUAUUCGCUUGUUUGAUCACCACAUUCCAAGAGCAGAUGUGAUUGUGCUCCUCAAUGGACAGGGGAGGAAACUGAGGCACAGGGAGGUAAAUGGAGUAGCUCAGAUACAGAACCUGAUGAUUUAGUUCCAGAGCUUUCAGCCUUUUCUGACUGACACCUCAUGCUCUCAGCAUGCCUAGUCACGUGCUGGAAGGGGGAUUCUCGACACUGGUCAUGAAUUACAGUCACCUGGG
ensembl:lncRNA